rnacentral:rRNA from 1 species
GACGAACGCUGGCGGCGUGCCUAAUACAUGCAAGUCGAGCGAAGUUUUUCUGGUGCUUGCACUAGAAAAACUUAGCGGCGAACGGGUGAGUAACACGUAAAGAACCUGCCUCAUAGACUGGGACAACUAUUGGAAACGAUAGCUAAUACCGGAUAACAGUAUUUCUCGCAUGAGAGAUAUUUAAAAGUUGGUUAUGCUAACACUAUGAGAUGGCUUUGCGGUGCAUUAGCUAGUUGGUGGGGUAAAGGCCCACCAAGGCGACGAUGCAUAGCCGACCUGAGAGGGUGAUCGGCCACACUGGGACUGAGACACGGCCCAGACUCCUACGGGAGGCAGCAGUAGGGAAUCUUCCGCAAUGGGCGAAAGCCUGACGGAGUAACGCCGCGUGAGUGAAGAAGGAUUUCGGUUCGUAAAGCUCUGUUGUUAGGGAAGAAUGGAUAUGUAGUAACUAUACAUGUAAGAGACGGUACCUAACCAGAAAGCCACGGCUAACUACGUG